CCUUAAGGGGCUGUGGGAGGAACCUCAGCCCCCAGGCCAGCAAGUCUCCUCUUUGUCCCCUGUUUUGUUUUGUUUUCUGUUUUUUGUGUAUGUGUGUUCUGUUGUUUGUUUGAGACAGGGUUUCUCUGUGUAGUCCUGGCUGUCCUGGAACUCACUUUGUAGACCAGGCUGUCUUCAAACUCAGAAAUUCAGAUCUACCUUCCUCUGCUAAAACUUCUCUUCUUAAUGGUUAUUUGGCUUAAAGAUUAUCACAGCUUUUUAAAACACCAAGCUCCCUUUUCCUCAGCAGCAGUAGUCCUCUUCGGGUCCAUCUUUGUCCCUUCCAUCUUACCUUUGCAGGAACCCUAUGAGACAGAUGCUGUCCUUUUCCUUAAGUGAGGAGGAAGCAGGUGAAAUCACUGCACCAUAGCCCACCAGACUGCAUGGUAGAGCAGGGGUAAGGACCCAGCAUUGUCUGACCUUAGGGACUAUGGCCGUUUGACUACACCAUGCAGGUACCAACCUGGGGACUGCCUUGAGAGGAAUCCACAGAGAAGAGGUUGAGAGCACAUUUUGUGUCCGGGGAGUAUGAGGUCUGUGGCUAUGGGCACGGGGGGCGGGGGGGGGGGUCCGUUCAAGAUACCAAGGUGUGGGCUGGUAAGAUGGCUCAGUGGGUAGGGGCACUGACUGCUCUUCCAAAGGUCCUGAGUUCAAAAUCCCAGCAACCACAUGGUGGCUCACAACCACCCAUAAUGAGUUCUGACGCCCUCUUCUGGUAUGUCUGAAGUCAGCUACAGUGAAUUUAUGUAUAAUAAUAAAUAAAUCUUAA
rnacentral:lncRNA from 1 species